rnacentral:rRNA from 1 species
CCUACGGGUGGCAGCAGUGAGGAAUAUUGGUCAAUGGCCGGAAGGCUGAACCAGCCAAGCCGCGUGAAGGACGAAGGUGCCAAGCAUUGUAAACUUCUUUUGUCAAGGGACAAAAUCAGGCUCGAGAGCCUGACCGAUGGUACUUGAAGAAAAAGCAUCGGUUAACUCCGUGCCAGCAGCCGCGUGACUAGGGAGGAUGCGAGCGUUAUCGGGAUUUAGUGGGGUUAAAGGGUGCGUAGGCGGACUGUUAAGUCAGCGGUAAAAGCCCGGGGCUCAACCCCGGCGAGCCGUUGAAACUGGCUGUCUUGAGAUGUCGAGAGGUAUGCGGAAUGCGAAGUGUAGCGGUGAAAUGCGUAG